rnacentral:rRNA from 1 species
UACGGAAGGCGCAGUGGGGAAUAUUGCACAAUGGGCGCAAGCCUGAUGCAGCCAUGCCGCGUGUAUGAAGAAGGCCUUCGGGUUGUAAAGUACUUUCAGUCGUGAGGAAGGUGUUAAGGUUAAUAACCUUAGCAAUUGACGUUAGCGACAGAAGAAGCACCGGCUAACUCCGUGCCAGCAGCCGCGGUAAUACGGAGGGUGCGAGCGUUAAUCGGAAUUACUGGGCGUAAAGGGCACGCAGGCGGUUAAUUAAGUUGGAUGUGAAAUCCCCGGGCUUAACCUGGGAAUGGCAUUCAAGACUGGUUAGCUAGAGUCUUGUAGAGGGGGUAGAAUUCCAUGUGUAGCGGUGAAAUGCGUAGAGAUGUGGAGGAAUACCGGUGGCGAAGGCGGCCCCUGGACAAAGACUGACGCUCAUGUGCGAAAGCGUGGGGAGCAAACAGGGAUUAGAUACCCGU